CUCCUUUGACGUUAGCGGCGGACGGGUGAGUAACACGUGGGUAACCUACCUAUAAGACUGGGAUAACUUCGGGAAACCGGAGCUAAUACCGGAUAAUAUUUCGAACCGCAUGGUUCGAUAGUGAAAGGUGGUUUUGCUAUCACUUAUAGAUGGACCCGCGCCGUAUUAGCUAGUUGGUAAGGUAACGGCUUACCAAGGCGACGAUACGUAGCCGACCUGAGAGGGUGAUCGGCCACACUGGAACUGAGGCACGGUCCAGACUCCUACGGGAGGCAGCAGGU
rnacentral:rRNA from 1 species